CCUACGGGAGGCAGCAGUGGGGAAUCUUGCGCAAUGGGCGAAAGCCUGACGCAGCCAUGCCGCGUGAAUGAUGAAGGUCUUAGGAUUGUAAAAUUCUUUCACCGGGGACGAUAAUGACGGUACCCGGAGAAGAAGCCCCGGCUAACUUCGUGCCAGCAGCCGCGGUAAUACGAAGGGGGCUAGCGUUGCUCGGAAUUACUGGGCGUAAAGGGAGCGUAGGCGGAUAGUUUAGUCAGAGGUGAAAGCCCAGGGCUCAACCUUGGAAUUGCCUUUGAUACUGGCUAUCUUGAGUAUAGGAGAGGUAUGCGGAACUCCGAGUGUAGAGGUGAAAUUCGUAGAUAUUCGGAAGAACACCAGUGGCGAAGGCGGCAUACUGGCCCAUUACUGACGCUGAGGCUCGAAAGCGUGGGGAGCAAACAGGAUUAGAUACCCUGGUAGUCCACGCUGUAAACGAUGAGUGCUAGUUGUCGGCAUGCAUGCAUGUCGGUGGACGCAGCUAACGACAUUAAGACACUCCGCCGUGGGGAGGUACGGUCGCAGAUUAAACUACGAAGAAGUUAGACGGCGUGAGACGUGCCGACGGACGACGACGAGGGAGGUUAGG
rnacentral:rRNA from 1 species